rnacentral:tRNA from 1 species
UCCCAGGUGGCUCAGACAGUAAAGAACCUGCCUACAAUGCAGGAGACCCAGGUUUGAUCCCUAGGUUGGGAA